CCUACGGGAGGCUGCAGUGGGGAAUAUUGCACAAUGGGCGCAAGCCUGAUGCAGCCAUGCCGCGUGUGUGAAGAAGGCCUUCGGGCUGUAAAGCACUUUCAGCGGGGAGGAAGGCGUUAAGGUUAAUAACCUUGGCGAUUGACGUUACCCGCAGAAGAAGCACCGGCUAACUCCGUGCCAGCAGCCGCGGUAAUACGGAGGGUGCAAGCGUUAAUCGGAAUUACUGGGCGUAAAGCGCACGCAGGCGGUCUGUCAAGUCGGAUGUGAAAUCCCCGGGCUCAACCUGGGAACUGCAUUCGAAACUGGCAGGCUGGAUGCUUGUAGAGGGGGGUAGAAUUCCAGGUGUAGCGGUGAAAUGCGUAGAGAUCUGGAGGAAUACCGGUGGCGAAGGCGGCCCCCUGGACAAAGACUGACGCUCAGGUGCGAAAGCGUGGGGAGCAAACAGGAUUAGAUACCCGAGUAGUC
rnacentral:rRNA from 1 species